rnacentral:rRNA from 1 species
AGUGAACGCUGGCGGUAGGCCUAACACAUGCAAGUCGAACGGCAGCACAGUAAGAGCUUGCUCUUACGGGUGGCGAGUGGCGGACGGGUGAGGAAUACAUCGGAAUCUACUUUUUCGUGGGGGAUAACGUAGGGAAACUUACGCUAAUACCGCAUACGACCUACGGGUGAAAGCAGGGGAUCUUCGGACCUUGCGCGAUUGAAUGAGCCGAUGUCGGAUUAGCUAGUUGGCGGGGUAAAGGCCCACCAAGGCGACGAUCCGUAGCUGGUCUGAGAGGGUGAUCCGCCACACUGGAACUGAGACACGGUCCAGACUCCUACGGGAGGCAGCCGUGGGGAAUAUUGGACAAUGGGCGCAAGCCUGAUCCAGCCAUACCGCGUGGGUGAAGAAGGCCUUCGGGUGGUAAAGCACUUUUGUUGGGAAAGAAAAGCAGCAGGUUAAUACCCCGCUGUUCUGACGGUACCCAAAGAAUAAGCACCGGCUAACUUCGUG